CCGCCGCAACGCUAUUUAUAGCCGGCAAACCGGAGCUCGUCUCCUCUUCCAUUCCACGGUACAGCAGAGCACGGUGCCCAAGAGCCGCCACCUCUGAACUCAACGCCGAUCGGCCGGAGACUCACCACCAUGAGCGAUCGGAGGUACGGGUACCCGCCACCCCAGGGGUAUUACAACAAUGGGCCGCCGGUGAUGGCGCCGCCGCAGUACCAGUACGCAGCUCCGCCGCCGAGGCGGGAGCCGAGCUUCCUCGAAGGAUGCCUUGCUGCCCUGUGCUGCUGCUGCCUCAUAGACGAGUGCUGCUGCGACCCGUCGGUCAUAUUCGUGAGCUGAUCCGACCACAGCAUAUGCUUCCGUCCCAGCCCAGAGAUACAUCAUAGUACAUAUCUGCAUGUACAGCCCAAAAAUACGUGUGUGCGCGUGUGUUCGCCCUUUGUUGGUGAUGAUGUUUUCAGCCUAUAUAUAGUAGUUCAUCGCAAGUCCCCCGGUUAGUUCUAAGCCUCAGGAUCGGACAGACGAUGGACAUGGUCUGAUGCAGAUGUUGCUCGUGCAUCCGAUCCGGCAUAUGUUUACUACUGCUCAUGUUGUUGUUGUUGUUGUUUUGAAACUACUGCUCAUGUUGUUUGAACACAACACGAUACGCAUGUGUGCCAACUACUGGCUGUUUUAUUAGAGUUGGGCCCUCCAGCAUAGACGACAUUGGGCAAGAAAGGCCCAGUUCUAUUCUAGUCGAGCCCAACAUGUCCCGGCCCGCUCUGUACCUUAGAUCUGGGCAGUCGGGUUGGGCUGUUUGUUGGUUUCGGGUCUCUCUCGAUUAAUAAGUCAUCCAUAUUAAUACAGUAACGAUCAUAGCGAUCU